GACGUAGGGGGCUAGCGUUGUUCGGAAUUACUGGGCGUAAAGCGUGUGUAGGUGGUUGUCCAAGUUGGAUGUGAAAGCCUUGAGCUCAACUCAAGAAAUGCAUUCAGGACUGGGCGGCUAGAGGACCGGAGAGGAUAGUGGAAUUCCCAGUGUAGUGGUGAAAUACGUAGAGAUUGGGAAGAACACCAGUGGCGAAGGCGGCUAUCUGGACGGUUUCUGACACUAAGACUCGAAAGCGUGGGGAGCAAACAGG
rnacentral:rRNA from 1 species